CAGUAGCCGCGGUAACACGGAGGGGGCUGGCGUUGUUCGGAAUUACUGGGCGUAAAGCGCACGUAGGUGGCUUGGUAAGUUAGAGGUGAAAGCCUGGAGCUCAACUCCAGAAUUGCCUUUAAGACUGCCGAGCUAGCAGGUGAGAGAGGUAAGUGGAAUUCCGAGUGUAGAGGUGAAAUUCGUAGAUAUUCGGAAGAACACCAGUGGCGAAGGCGGCUUACUGGCUCAUACUGGACGCUGAGGUGCGAAAGCGUGGGGAGCAAACAGGAUUAGAUACCCCGGUAGUCCCUGUCUCUUAUAC
rnacentral:rRNA from 1 species